AAACGAGGUCGUGCGCGCUUCCUGCGAUGGUUUUUUGCUGUCCCCGUCUGGCCCCAGGUGCGCGGGACGUAGAGGCCGGACAGCCGGGAGGCGGAGAUGAAAGGGGCCAGCGGCCCGGCCCCGGGGACACGCGUGCCAGGCCCUGCUGCAGCCCCCGAGAGGUCGGAGGCGCGGAGCCAGGGCUGACCCUGUGCACUGGGUCGAGGGCCACCCCUCGUCUCAGCCUAAGCUGGACGCACCACCCGGGCAGAAGUGACAUCAGAACCCUAGGCUCCGUUGUCAACCACGGUUACUGAUGUCACCCCUUCUGCACAGGGAGGAAGGUGUGGCCCAGCGAGGCAUCCUCCCGUCUUAGUCGGGGUCUGCCCUGGGUGGGAGGGAUUGUAGGACCCCCUCUCCGCUGGCUGUGACAGCCUAAGCUGGUGAGCUGUUUCUAGCCAGAGUGCCCCUUCGGUGAAGUCUAAAGCCCCGAGAUGUCAACGGCAGCUGCCGUGUAUUGAAAAGCAUGUGCCAGGCCAUCCUGGACUUAGACGUAAAUGUGUUAUCUCAGUACUCCUGGCAGCUGUAUAAACGUGCAUGCCACCCCUUUUCACAGAUGAGGGGCCGAGGUCAGAGAAGCAGCUUGCCAGAGGCCCUGGAGGGCAAAGGGACACAGCCUAGAUUUGGACCCAGAUCCUUGAUACUGAAUCUCAGCUGUUAGCCUGUGUGCUGAGCCGGCAUCCUGUGAUAAUAGUUUCCCUUCAGUAGGUGUAGCUGGCUGGCAGCUCUGUUGAUUACCUUAGCUCACUGCUGCCUCCUCGAGUUGGAAGACCCGCUUACCCAGAGCUAAGCCCCUCUCCCAACUCUGAAGGUGCUCAGCAUCCCUCAGCUUGACCCAGGUUGCCUGGAGAUUCCCACCCACUGGUUACCCCAGAUCUCCCAAUACUCUGCCUCCCUUUGCUUGGGGUGGGAAAGGAUGCCCUCUGCCCAGGAUCUGAAUGGCCGGUGUGUGGCGCCAAGCCUGCUGGGCCUGUGGUGCCAGGGCUACAAGUGCACAACAGAACACCCCCAGUGUGCUCACACAGUGUCAAGCCAGCCCCCAGGGUGCCGAGGCUGCCUCUCCCCUCUGUACCCCGUCCUCCCUUGUAAUGCGGAGGGGGCAGUCUGGCUUUUUCCUUGGCUUUCCAGGUUGGUAUAUGCUGGACGUCAGCAGCAGAUAGGACACCCCAGCACAAUGAGCCCGCAGCAAUCCGGACUUUCUAGCCUUCAAGUGUACCUCAGAGCGGAAGCUGCGCAUUUGAUUUUUUUUUUUUUUUUUUGGCUCCAUAUUAAAGAACAAAGCAUGGGAACUGGACAGGUCCCUCUGUAAACAGAAAACACAUGUUUUCUGAGAGAAUGGGCCCUUCCUUUCCUGGUUUCAUCUCCCGUGGACAGAGGCCUCCUUAGGCCCGCUGACUUCAAGACCAUGGAGACUGUGGACCGAGGGCUGAGAGGAGGUGAUUCUUCUUUGCUCAACUCAGGGACCGGACACUCGCCUUCUUUUUUUUUUUUUUUUUUUUUUUUUGAGAGUCUCGCUCUGUCGCCCAGGCUGGAGUGCAGUGGCGCGAUCUCAGUUCACUGCAAGCUCCGCCUCCCGGGUUCACGCCAUUCUCCUGCCUAAGCCUCCGGAGUACCUGGGACUACAGGCACCCGCCACCAAGCCCGGCUAAUUUUUUUUUUUUUUUUUUUUUGUAUUUUUAGUAGAGACGGGUUUCACCAUGUUAGCCAGGAUGGUCUCGAUCUCCUGACCUCGUGAUCCGCCUGCCUCGGCCUCCCAAAGUGCUGGGAUUACAGGCAUGAGCCACCGCGCCCAGCUGACAUUUGCCUUUUUGAAUGGGGGCCAGGACAAGUGCUAGAGGUCUGCUCAGCAGUGGGGUGUGGUCUGAGGAGGGAGGGCCCCUCAGAGACCUGAACAGGAAGUGGGGGUCUGCACCAUUUGUGUCCUCCAAGCACACUAGAAUUGUUUAGGGUUCUACCCGAGCUAGCUCCAAGUGAACGUGUGUUCUUUGGAGCCUGCUAGCCACAAAUGGGCAGAGACCUCUAACUCAGAUGAGAAGCCUGUGUCUGCAAAGAAUGGGCAUUCUUGGACUGAGUACCCACUGCUGUGUGUCCUUGGGCAAGUUUCUUAACCUCUCUGGGCCUCACGUUUCUCAUCUGUAAAAGCAGGAUAAUAGUUAUUUAGGAUUCAAUAAGAUCAUGGAAAUAGCCCCAUUGGACACAUAACUAGGAGCUAAUUAAUAAGUGAGCAAAAUCAAACAUUGUCUCUGUUUCAAUGCUGAGCUACGGUAGAGUGGCCCAAGAAUCCUCUACAGACACCCAGGGUGCCCAUACUCCAAGGAGCACCUCCUCUUCCCCUGCCUUCUGUUGGGCACAGCCACUCCCAGGCCGCCGUGACACCUUUUUGGAAGCAGCCGUCUUGCAGACAGAUCAUCCCUUUGAAUCUCCCCAGCAGCCUGAACUUUGUCCUUGAGGGGAGAUUUGAUUUGCGGAAAUAAUCAGACAUCCUUUAAGACAAGUCUGCUGAAUGGAUGCUCAGAAGCCAAGCCAGGGCCUCCUGUCCAGGGCCAGCAUGUGCCACGACUGUAAAGUCAGAAGCCAGUCUGGCCACGUGCUCUGAAGGCAGUAUAGAAAAGAUCUGGACUGGAUCAUCGCCACUGGCGUUGGUGGGUGUGAGCGACGUGUCCGUGUGUGUGUGUGUGUGUGUGUGUGCGUGUGUGCAUGUGUGUAUGAAAAUAGAGAUAUUCACACACACCCCUGAGCUUGGUGGACGGACCAAACCAAAGCCUGCCUAAUUAACAUGAGGCUGCCUUUCAUCUCUCAGCCCACAACUUGAUUUUCAUGGAAAUUUCUCUGUGUGGGAAAAUUACAAGCAUUUCUGAUACAGGCAAGUGUUGUGAGAGUAUGGCAGCAUGUUGUCCUGGAAUACUGGGAUUUAGAGGCUGGGUUCCCCUAGCCUGUUCCUAACCAGCUGUGUGGCCUCUGGCUCCUUUCUUCACCCCCCAUCUCUUGGUUUCCCCAUCUCAAGUGCUCCAGGAAGGAAACACACAGGCUGUGCCCACAUGCGUGGGCAUUCACAGCACGUGCGGGUGACAUUGCUCAUUAAAACACUGUAAAAAUUAAUUGGCAUUCACAAAGUUCUAGUCACAAUAGCAAACAUUUUAAAAAAUCAGAAACAGGCCAGGCACAGUGGCUCACGCCUGUAAUUUCAGCACUUUGGGAGGCCGAGGUGGAUCACUUGAGCCUGGGAGGCAGAGGUUGCAGUGAGCCGAGAUUGCACCACUGCACUCCAGCCUGGGUGACAGUGAGACCCUGUCUCAAAAAACAAACAAACAGACAACACAAACAAUUCAAUUGUCCAUCAGUAUGUGAGUGGGUAAACAAAUGUCAAUAGGCAUAUGAUAAAAUAUCACGUAGCAGUAAAAAGGAAUGGGCUAUUGAUAAACUCAACAACAUAGAUAGCAGGAUCCCGAGCAAGAGUUCAUACUCCAUGAGUUAAAAUUUUUUUUUAAUAAAUUGAAACUGAUCUACGGUGGUUGGAUUCAGAUUGCUGGCUGCCAGGAAGUCAGAGACUGCCUGCAAGGGGCUCUAGGGAACAUUUUGUGGUGAUGUUUUCUUUCUUGAUCGUGGUGAUACAUGUCACGGUUGCAUACAUUGUCAAAACUCAUCGAACAGUAGAGGUGAAAGGGAUUUUGCUGCAUGGAACUUAUUCCUUAAUAAGGUUGAUUUCAAAAAUUAACUGGUAUUUAUACUUUAUUUUUCAAAUCUUGUAGAAAAUAAUGACAUAAAAUGCUCACAACGUAUUCAACAAAAAGACUGUAAAAUAACCUAUAGUAUGAUCUAAUGAUUAUAUAUACAUGAAUAUAUGUAUGCAUUUAUAACUUACGAUAUGGUCCAUUCAUAUAGAUAUGUGUACACACACACAAACACAUAUAUGCAUGCGCACAUAUAUACACAUACAGUUUGGAAAAUAUAGCAGAAGGACUUUCAACCAAAUGCAUUCAGUAAUUACCUCAUGGGUAAUUGUUUUCUUUUUAUUUUUUAAUUCUAAAUACCCUCUUAGUUUUUUCUUAAUUCUAAAUAUCCUCUUAGUUUUUUUUUUUUUUUUUUGUACUUUUCUGUAAUGAACACUAUUUUUGUGGAAGAGAGUCUUUUUUGCUUGCUGUAUUUUUCUUUAUUGUUAAUUGACAAAUAAUUGUAUGUAUUCAUGAGGUAUAAUAUGUUAUAUAUAUAACACUUUUCUUUUUAUAAACAAAUAAAAACAAACAUCUCUCUUUUUUUUUUCCAGCUGUAGCAGGCCAGGGACAUGGGGCUGGGCCCUGGACAGGGUGGUGAGGACAUCCCGGUUCCCACGAAAAGCAACCGCCUGGCAAGUCUGGAGCAGGCGAAGAGGGAGUGAGGGGGUGUGGCUCGCUCCCCAAGUUCUUUGGCUCAGCUUCAGUGCUGGGUCAUUCUUGGGGACUGCUAUGCCCACUGGGCACUGCAGAACUUCUGGUGCGUGUGGCUAAGGGGAGUCGGGAAGAGCCCUGUCCCUGGACCAGACCUUCCUGUUGGGAGUACUGGGACCCAGUGACCUUGUGCACCUUUCCUGAAGCUUCUGGGCCCCAAGUGGUCGAAUGCAGAGUGGGCUGGGGAGUCACAGACUGUGCUUCCUGCUUUCAACCUCCGUUCCAGGUUCCUGUGCGUUCCGUGGGCCCAUCCACCUGGCUGGGCUUGGCUAGGCUGUGACCUUCUCUGAGGACAGGGCUCUGCCUGCAUUUGGAGCUGCUGGGACCUCAGUGUCACCCCCCACUCUCGCCAGCUGGCCUCACAAAGGUGCCCAGGAGGAGACCUGAUUGCCGACUCCUUUCCCCUCCCUGGCUGAGCAGAUUCUACAACAGCCUGUGGAAAUUAAAAUAAGAGCUUAAAACUGUCAAAAAAAUUUUUUUUAACCAAGUCACAAAUGGGAAAGCUGAGGCGGCAGCAGGUUAAGGACACUUUGUGAUGUAGCGUUCUCUCCCAGUGCUUUCGUACUGUAAACAUCACAGUCCACGGUCCCUGUGAACAGGCAGCCACAGAGACUGGGUUUAGACUUGCCGGGGAAGGCUGCAUCCAAAGUGGGGCCAGCUCAGAACUAUUCCACCACAUGGGGGGCCAUUAGUUCUGCUCAGUUCUGUGGGGCCUCACUAGUGUUUCUAUUUAAAAAUAAGUCAAGGUAAAAGAAAAAGUUUCAAAAUGUAACAGUCACGUAUCUAUUUCUGUAAUUGUAAAGAAAUACACUGUCAUGUGACGGCUGGAGGCUCUGGAGCAGAGGGCCUAGGAGGAAUUUUUUUUCUUUUUCUUUUUCUUUCCUGAAUUCUCCAAACCGUCUAUCACAGUGUGUAUUGCUUUUAUAACGGGAAGAGAUAAAAUAGACUUACAUUAAAAAUAAUCAAACUGCACCUGUGCCUACAUGUCAAAUGAUAAACGUGACAAUCAAAGGCACUUUUUAUUUAUCGAAUACCUGGUUCAUGCCACAUCUCCUGCUAGGCCCUCCCAGCGUGCUGGCUCCUCAGAACACCCUGCAGGUGGGAGCUGGGCACCAGGGUCCCUGAGGCAGCAUUCAGCACCCACGUGGCAGAGCCAAGGCUGGACAGGGAUGAUUCCAACAUCCAGGAUUGUAUUAUGCUUAUAACGACUUCCUGCCUGUUUGUAUUUAAGACAAGGUCUCUCACUGCAGCUUUGACCUCCCGGGCUUGAGCAGUCUUCCCACCUCAGCCUCUGGAGUAGCUGGGAGUUACAGGUGCACACCCCCAUGCUUGGCUAAUUUUUGUAUAUUUUGCAUAGACAGGGUUUCGCCGUGUUGCCCAGGCUGGUCUGGAAUUCCUGGGCUCGUGCGAUCCACCAGCCUCGGCCUCCCAAAGUG
rnacentral:lncRNA from 1 species